GUGUAAAUAUGGCUGUGAAAUGUGUCACUGGGAGGGGUAGUGAGUUCCCCUUGACCUUGUCCUUAUAAAAAGGGGAAAUUAGGACACAGAGACAAAAACACACAGAGGGAAGAUGAUGUGAAGACACAGGGAGAACACCACGUGAACAUGGAGGAUUGGAGUAAUGCAUCCACAAGCCAAGGAAUGCCUGAAGCUACCAGAAGCCAAGAGAGAAGCAUGGAGUAAAUCGUUCUCUAGCAUCUUUAGAGGAAGGUUAGCCCUGCAAACACUAGAUUUCAGACUUUCAGACUCCAGAACGGAACAUGAGGCAGGAGGCGGGAAGGUGAAGGAAGAAAGAAGAAACAGAUCACACUGGUCCCCGCCCUGGUCACCAAGGCACACGUAAGCCUGCUCUGAGGGAACGAGAGAAGCUUUAAAUUAUAUGUCAUCUUGAAGUUUGAAAAAGGACAGAAUGAGGCUUUUGAAUGCCUGAAAGGGACUCUACAUUGUCAAAAAGGAGUAAAAGAGAUUGGACAGCUAUGGAACCUGCCCAAGAUGUCAUCGAGAGGCAAAGAAGGGAAAUGAGAUAAAGCAUGAAGGAAAUGCCCCUGGCACGCUGAUUAUUGUGGAGGAAGAUGAAGUGCUGCCCCAGGGGGAUACAAACACACACCAUCUGGCGCAUCCACAAGUGUCAGGCUGUCAGACACAGCAACCCUGGGACCACACUUCGCUCUCUCUUCCCAAUGACAGUCACUUCCAAUCAACGCUGUGAAUCCAGGUGGCAUCCUAAGAGGGCCUGGAGUCAUUACAGAGAAUUCUUUUAUCCUCCCAACUCUGCUUGUCUCCAAAGGCCCACAGAGCUGGGGUGAUAACUCCUAUGGCCAGGGACAUUCACUUAUAUAUCACUCACCCGCUUUGUCUGAGGGUUUCUACCUGUCAGCUGUCCAAAUGACAAAUGCCUUCAACACGAAAAUGGAACGUCCAAAGUCAUCUUUUACAAAAAUGACUUCUCUGUACAACUAGGCUUGUGUGAGUUCCCAGCAGUAAGUGAAAUUUCUACGGGAGAACUUGAAGGUAAAAUGGGUGGAGAGGAGGAGGUAUCUUUGGCAUAUUUUCCUGAGUAAACUACUUAAAGGUAUUGUUCUAAUUAUCUAUUGCUAUGCAACAAACCACCCCAAAAUAUAGUAGCCUAAAACGACUAUUUUAUUUGGCUCACACUUUUGUGGGUCAGGAAUUUAGGAAAGGCUGGAAUGGGGAGUUGAAUGCUGAACCAUGUAGCACCAGCUGGGGUGGUGGAGGGGGCGGGGGCAGCUGAGGAAGGAGGAUUCACAUCCAAUAUGGUGUCUUCGCUGGUUGCUCUGAAACCUGGGCUGGAUGCCUGGCAGUUGAUUCUGGCUGAUGGCUGGGAGCCCAGCUGUGGCUGUUGGCCAGAGAGCUGACACUUGGUCUCUCCAUGUGGCUUGAGCUUCUCACAGCAGGUGGCCAGGUUCCAGAGCAAGCAUCCCAAGAGCGAGGGUACCAAAAGGCCCAGGCAGAUGCUGUAGGCUUCUUAUGACUAAUCCCAGAAGUCCCAGAACAUCGUUUCUGCCACAUUCUUUUGGUCAAGCAAAUCACUAGGGGAGCAGAAUUAGACUCCAUCUCUCAAUGACAAGAAUAACAAAGAAUCUGUGGCCAUUUUAAUCUACCACAGGGAUGUUGAGAUGUAUUCCACAUGAAGGGGAGUGACUCCCUCUUCAGCUACUCCUUUCUUCACCUCAUCUUUACAUACACAUGGUACAGAAUGGAGAUGAUAGUGAAAUAAAAGCCAAGCCUUCAUUACGCCCAGAGUCAACUAAUUGUUAUUACCUGAGCAAGUCCUCUAACUUCUUGCGUCUCAGAAAGGAGAUGUUUUCCUAGGUUACAGUGAAGUUAGAGGUCACAUACUUGUGGAGCAUGUAAGCCAAACCCAGUCCACAGAUUUGUUUGGUGUGAACAUUGCUUUAAUAUACAUAUAUAUACAUAUAUACAUGUGUGUGUGUAUGUACACACAUACUUUUUACUUAAUUGACACACUUAAAGGCUAGAUGAUGCCGUAUAAAAUUCAGAUGAUCUGAGAAAACUGGACAUGCAUUCCAGCAUGGCAAAAGCUGCCUGGAGUGGAGGGUCGGCUGCCUUCUUUAGAUGGUGCGGCCACUCUCUCGUGUGUCUACACAACUCAUAUAUUACAUGAGUAAUAUGGCCAGGGCCAGAUAGGCAUGCAAGUUUGCUUCUCUACCACAUGGUAUAAUGGUUAAGAGCACACAGAUGCUGCCUUUAGUGGCAUGUACUCAAAUCCCGGCGCUGCCAUUUAUAAGCUACACGACCUUAGGGAAGCUUUUUAACUACUUGCUGCUUAAUUUCACUGUCUGUCUGUUAGGAACAACAAUAGUGACCUGCCUCACAGGUUUUAUGAAGCUGAAAUGAAUUUACAUUAUGAUAUGAAUACAUAAUUAAGAUAAUAAUUAACAUAUUAAUAAAUAGGUGAACAGUGCCUAGCAUGUAUUAUCAUUUUCACAGUACUGUAAUCAUAAUAAGAAUCAAAUGAAAAGAUUCAGGUAAAAUUAUUUUGAAAAUGUUUAGGCAUUAUAUACAAGUCCUAAAUUAUUAUAUUUCUAUUACAUGCAAUACAGAAGAUUUCUUACAGGUGGUUUCUCCAACCUUCUCUGAAUACUUCUGGGGCAAGAAACUUACCUCCACUUGUCUUAAUCUUGUGACAAUUCAUUCCACGGUUAGUUCUGUUUUUAGAAACGUUUUCCUUAAAUUAGGCCUUCCUCACUUCUGUGAACUUCUAUAGGACUUAUUUUCUGUACUUUUCCUUUGGCAUCAUCUCCCUUAUUUCCUUACUUAGCUAAUUUAUUCUUUCUUCCACAUGUAUCAUGUGUCAGACACGGUGCAGGGGACAAAGAAUACAACACGGAAUAGCACCCAGCUCCCACAUGAGAGAAGCUUAGAGAUCAGUGUUCCUGACUCCUUGUAUUGUAGGAUGCCACAUGCAAUAACUGUUUUACUCUUUCCUGCAUAAAAAUAAGCUUGCCUUUUACUCUCAUGUGUUACCGUUUAUUAAGUGCUUCCACAGACCUUAUAUCAAUUGGCUCUCAGAAGGACUCUGUGAAAUAAACUGUAUUAUUCCAAUUUUAGAGAUACAGACACUGAGGUUUGUGCAGUGCUCUCUCCACACCACCCCUCUGACACACCUCCAGGGACCGGCAUAGAGUUGGGCUCUAGGGUGCACUUGAAGAAAGGGUUCAGUAAAUGAAUAAACUAUACCUGAGUGAACCAGGAGCUGAAGUAGCUCUAGCCAACAUCAUUCCCAACACUGAGCAGCUAGUUCAGUUCAAAGAUAGUGCAGCCUGUUAGAAAACAACACAUCCAGGCUGGAGGAGUAUGACGACAGAGGACUCCUCGAGGAGCAUCUCCAGGAAAACAUGGAAAUGGUGAAUUGUCUGAUGUGUUUGACUCUCUAAUGCCUGUGACAAAAAGCUAUUGGAGUAUAUGAAAAGAAUUAGCAAUAGAUACAUAGAAAAUUGAUCAAAUUUUAAAAUGAGCCAAUUAUUAAAUCUGGAAAAAACAAAAAUAUAUAUCAGAAAAGAAACAUAAUUUAGGUACAAUACAUAGCUCAGAAGUAAAAGAAACUUAGUCAUAUUGAAUUAACUAAACAUAUUUACAUAACUAUAUUGGGAGGAUAGGAAGAAUAGAAGCAGAGAGUGGUCGAAGAAUGCUAGAUCUUUGCUAUAAUUACGAAAUAAUAAUGACUGAAACAGAUAAAUCAAGAAAUAACAGUACUAGCGUAUUAUUUAGGAUUACAGAUUCAAGGACCAGAAGAAAAACUAAAAGAGUUGAAAAAGCCUGGCUCUGGGAAGCAAGACUUGGGAGCAAAGAGGGAUGGGAUAGAGAUGAGACAUCAUAAGCCUGUUAGAAUGUAUUAUUUGACUUUUUAACCUCAUGCAGGUAUUACUUUGUUGUUUUAAAAAAAAAGCUGACCACAAAAUGACAACAUGAUACCACCUCAUACCCAUUAGGAUGGGAACUAUAAAGAAUGUUAAAAAAAAAUUGGAAAAUAACAAGUGUUGGUGAGGAUGUAGAGAAAAGGGAAUCCUUGUGCAUUGUUGGUGGGAAUGUAAAAUGGUGCAAUCAGAAUGGAAAACAGUGUAGCAAUUCCUCAAAAAAUAAAAAAUAAAUUUACUAUUUGAUCCAGUGAUUCCACUUCUGGGUAAAUACCUAAAAGAAUUGAAAGCAGGAUCUCAAAGAGAUACUCAUAUACUCAUGUUCAUAGCAGUAUUAUUCACAAUUUCCAAGUGGUAGAAGCAAUCCAAUGUUCAUCAAUGAAUGAAGGGAUAAACAAAAUGGACUAUAUACAUAUAACAGAAUGUUAUUCAGCCUUAAAAAGAACAGAAAUUCUGACACAUGCUACAACAUGGCUGAAUCUUGAGGACAUUAUGCUAAGUGAGAUAAGCCAGUCACAAAAAGACAAACACAAUAUGAUUCUACUUAUAUGAGCUACCUAGAGUUAUCAAAUUCAUAGAGACAAAAAGUAGAAGGAUGGUUGCCAGGGGCUGAAGAGAAGUAAGAAUGGAGAAUUCUUGUUUAAUAGGUAUAGAGUUUCAGUUUUGCAGUAUGAAGAGUUCCGGAAGAUUGGUUGCACAACAAUGUGAAUGUACCUAAUGCCACUGAACUGUACACUUAAAAAAUGGUUAUGGUGGUAAACUUCAUGUUAUGUGUACUUUACCACAAUUAAGAAGUUUUCCUAAAUUAAAAACAACAACAAACAAAGACAAUGUAGCCUGAAAUGUGAUGGAGUCAUAAGUGGGUGAUGUUCAAAUACUCACCCACCAGUAUGGCAUAGGCAUGGGAUAAUCAGAAUGGACACACGGUUAAAAAGUGAAAAAUUCGGCAACUAGCUAGAUGCUUACUCCACAAUAUUAAAAUCCAAGGUUUGACCUUUUGUGUGUAUUUGACUGUCUCCUGCUAUGAGUACAUUGUGUAAUUCUGGGGGAAUUGAACCUAUAGCAGAAGUCAGGAGACCAAGUACAUGAUGUAUCAGAAAGAUCACUGAACCUAAAAUCAGAAGGCCCUGAGUCCAAGCUUUGAUUUCUCUCUGAUUAGCUGAGUCACUAGCCCUCAACUGAUCUGUAAAAUGUGUAUAACAAUCCUUACCUACAGUGCCAGGGACAUAAUAGGAACUCAAAAAAUAUUUGUUGAAUAAAUCAAGAAUGAAAGUAUGCUUAAAAGAGACCAUAAAUAUGAAAGUAUAUUGUAAGUUCUAUUAUUCUCUGUAAACAUAAACAUUUAAGUAAAAUUAUACUUUUGCCCUGACUAAGAUAGUAUCUGGUUAUGACUUGGAGUCUUUCUUAGGGCUCCUGAAACCACUCCAUUUCCAAAGUGACCACUUAUCCUCUCUGAAGAUUCUUUCUAGUGUACUUUAUAUAUUGCAACAAGCUAGGAAUGCUGUUGCAAAGGAAAAAUCAAAAAUAUCUUAUGAUCAAUCAAAGAUUCUGGCUAAAGUCACCCUGAACAUAAAGAGAUAAAGACUGUCCUUGAC
rnacentral:lncRNA from 1 species